AGGCAAGAAUGCACAGGAAGGGC
rnacentral:piRNA from 1 species